GCCAACGUGGCGCAAUUGGUAGCGCAACUGACUUGUAAUCAGUAGGUUAGGGGUUCGAGUCCCCUCGUUGGCUCCA
rnacentral:tRNA from 1 species